UUGGUGGUGACCGGAAGGCGAGGGGACGCUUGGCAGCUCCUGCCCUUCCUUGGACCUCAGUGUCCGCCCUGCGGGGGUGGCGCUAGGGCGCCUCACCUCCGCUCUGGAUCUGGACGGCUUCGGGGUCGCCAGAGCGUCUCCCCCGGCCCAGCGCAGAGUGAAGCUUAUGUAAAUGAUUAUCUGUGUCCUGAGCCGGCGCCUGCCGCGAGGUCGUGGGGCCGUGGCUCGGGCUCGCGGGGAAGCCUUUCGCUUCCGUCCGCCUUAGGCCCUCGCUGGUGGGCGCGGACUCUGGAGGGGCCGCCCCUGCAGCUGGGCGACGUCUGCGCUGCGGACCCCCGCAGAAAUGGGACCCACGUCGGUCGGUGGGGCUGAGCCCAGGUUCCCUCAGCGAUCUGGCCGACGUGUUAGGGUUUCUCCCGUGAAAAAGCCCAGACAGAAGCAGCUUUGCCUUCUGCACAAGGAUGCUGUGAGGAUGGAAUGAAAUGUUGCCUGCUUCCGUCUCCAGGAUUGAAAAUUCACUGGCCUGACUGCAUUUCGCAUAUUGGCUUCCUUAAUCUUUUGUUGCAUUUUAAUGAUAAUACUAUUCCCUGCAUUUUGGGAACACUGAGUGCUGCACAGCCAAAUUGUAAAUUACUAUGAUCAGUUUAAGCAAGCGUGUGAACCCAGGCCUCAUGCACAAAUGCUAGGCUGGUGCUUUACUUCUGAGCCACAUACCAGACUUAACAGUUUGCUUAUUUGAAUACAUACUCUUAACAACAACAUUAAGUAAUAUGCUUCCAAAAAUUCUUUUCUUCUCGUUGCUAAAGGAUUCUUGUCAGUAUGAUGAUGACUUCAGUAUUGGAUGGAACUUUUUGUUAUAGGCCUCAGUGGCCUGAGAUUUACUAUGUAGCAGAGCCUGACCUGUAACUUGUGAUCCUCAUGCACCUAUCAAAUUCUGGAAUUACAGAUGAGGACCACUCCACCUAUUCAAGUGUCACGAGAUAGCCCAGGCUGGUGUCAGACUUCUGAGACUCAGUCUUACAAGUGACAGGAUUACAGGCAGAAAAAUCGAGCUGGAAUCAGGGCCUGACAAUUUGGCUACCCUAGCUGGGCACCUUGGCCCUGGACUCUUGCCUCCCUUCCUGAGCACUGGGAUUGCAGGACACGGGCUUCCUGAUACUUUACCUGGGUUCUGGGAAUCCAGACUCCAACCCCGGCACUUGCUCGGCAUGUGCUUUAUCCAACACACCAUCUCCUGUUAAAAUAAUGUCAUCGUGAACAAGUUCAUGGAUGUGUCCAGGUGCAUCUGGCAAAAGAUUAUGGUUUGCAAUGGAAUCUGCUUUGGGGUGUGUGAAUAUUCAACUAUAAUAAAUUGUUUCAAACAGCUUUCCAAAGUAGCUUCUCCAGUUUAUACUUCAUCAGCUACUUAUGAGGGAUCCUGUUGAUCAGAUUGUCUCAAAACAUGACAUUGUCAGACUUCUUCCAACAAACAGGUGUGUGGAACCUCAUUACUGUGAGCGUCUGCUCCUGUCUUUCCGCUGGAUUAUGGACUGCACGUUCUCCGUGCAAGAAAGGGGAAAGUGUUUAAACCCACAACUCUUCACUGUGCCUCUUCUUCCCCACGUGCUCAUCCCUCAUAGUCACAACAGCCUUUUCUUGCCAUUUCCUUCCAAUGUCCCAAGUGUUUGACCUUAGAACUGCUGUAUUUGGGGAGGAAAUGGACCACGACCCAUGCUCCCUUUUCUAGUUUCUCUUCCUACAG